GACCUUAAUAAAGUGAAAGAGCCUGAUGCUGAAAACAACGAUGCAGGUGAAGCAAAGGAUGACAAAGACAGUGAUGAUGACGAUGAGGACGAGGACAAUGAUGAAGAUGAUGGUAAUGACUCGGAAGAAGAUAGUGAUGAUGAUGAAGAGGAUUCUGAUGAUGAGCUUGAGGCUGCUGGUUACGGAGAAAGUGAUGACGAUGAAGACGAAGACGAUGAAGAUGACGACAGUGAUGACGACGAGGACGACGACAGUGAUG
rnacentral:lncRNA from 1 species